GAUGUCAUUCAAAUCCCUCAACUGGGUAGUGGCCGGCAGCAGGGUCCAAGCCAGCUGUUUUGCUAUUUAUAAUGUAUACUUGGCUUGGCCCGGGAGAAUCAAGGUCUUAUCUUUUGUGGAUACAAUUUGUACCUAUUUCUCUUUGGCUUUCCGAGGCACUUGAUAAGAAAGUGGAUUAUGAAACGUGGUUGCAAAAGCCCAGAUCAGACAUAGUCCUUCUCCUGGAUGUUUCACAUGCAUGGUGGAAAUACCUGGAUCUCGUGUGUUACUUGUCACUGUCAGGGGACUUGACAACACUGACACGUCGACUGAACCCCAAGAUCCCACCCUCUGCAAAAAAGCCAAGUCCAUGCUCUUCUUAGGGACCUUGAUGACGUAGUGCAUGGAACCAGAGUUCAACUCAUGUGUCUCGCAGGACAGAAUACUGAAAACUGAGUACAAGAGAAAUGUAUUUCUCCCAGUUCUGGAGGCUGAGAGCUUAAGACGAAGGAAGCACUCACAUCUGGUAAUGCUUCUUGCAUUAUCCUUACAUGACAGAAGGUGAAAAGGCAAGAGAGUGAACUACUGCAAGCCCUCUUGUAGAUGUGCAUAGGCUGGAAGGAUACACAAGAAAUGGGAAACAAUGAUUCCUCUGGCAUGGAAAUUAGGAAUGGAAAAAAAGGCAAAAUGGAAGGGGUCCUGCCUCCCUUCCUGAAGCCUGACACCAGCCAUUUCAUGGCCCCAAAGCCUUGACGUCUACUCCCAGCAAGCUUAUCACAACUGUGGCCCCCUGAAGAAGAAUGCUGCUGAGUAAAUUUCAUCUUAUCUCAUUGCCGUUUGCUAUACAGAGCCGUGUUCUAAAUGGAUAUUUUUUUAACAUUUUAUUUCAGAAUAUUUUUAUGUUUAUGAAACAAAGAUUGUCAGGUAGUAAUACAAACUUCCCAUAAAACCCCCACCCUAUCUCCCCAUCACCAUCUCCUAUUAGCACCUUCAUGUUGAGUGAAAUAAGCCAGAUGCAGAAAGACAAAUACCACAUGUUCUCCCUUAUAUGUGGGAGCCAAAAUUUAAUAAAGCCAACUCAAUUAGAAUACACAAUAUUGAUUACCAGAGGCUAGGAAGGAUAAAAGGUUUUUGGAUGGAAAAUUAGGGGAAUCAAAUGGAUAUAUUUUAUGCAGGUUCCUCCGAAUCCGUGGUAAUUUCCCCUCACUGGUCACAUAAAGCUCAAUGUGCUUGCUAUAUAGAGCCAUAAAUGAAGGACAUGACUAACCUUGUGUCCAAAGACAGCUCACCUGGCUCCUCUGCGUUUGAGUGCCUUAUGUUAGAAGAAAGAGGAGAUAAAAACAGAACAAUUUCUGAGAUUCCUUCCUACCCUGACAUCCCUUUGUAUUAUACAUUGAGUUAAAUGCAAUCAGUCACAAAAAUCUUUUACAUGCACCCUGGAAAACUCACAACAACAUCCUUCAAACAUGAACCAAUACAGAAUGGGGAAAUAGCAGCAAAGUUGAUCUUUAGACCUUUCUCGUGAUGUAACAAUGCCCAGAGUGUCCCCAUCGUUCUCAGAAAUCACUGUUCUCUACUCUUUCCCCUGUGGUGGGGCAUGAUGCUAUUUUAAGAGUUGUUUAUGAGUUAAUUACUUAGAAACAGAAAAAAAUCCUUUCUUCCCAACCUAUUUUGAAGGAAUUGUAAUACUUUUUGAAGACUGUUGAAAACUUGAAAAAUAGGCAGAUAAAAAAAUCACCAAUAAUCUCUCUCUGCAUAUAUUGCCCUGGUAAACUUUUGGUGUAUUUGGUUAAAAAAAAAAGCAUACCAGGAUGUUUUAAGCUAGUUCUAUUCACCUAGCAAUAGAUUACACUUUCUCAUUUCAUCAUAAGAUUUCAAGUGGCUCAAUUGGGCUCCAUUCCAUGAAUAGUCACAAUCUAUUUAAUCAAAGCCCUCUGGUUGCCUAUUGAAAGGUCCUCCUGCCCCAAGUGUUUAUGAACAAUCAUUUAAUGAAUUGUUUUUUUACCAAAUAUUCUGGUUUCUGACUAAUUUGUUACCAGACAUUCUUAGUGAUGAAUUUCUAGGAUAGAUGUUGUAUGCAUUUUUGAUUUUUAAUGUAGACUGUCAAAUUGUCUUCCAAAUGGUAUCAUUAAUUAUACUUCCUCGACAGGAUAGGAAUUGGCUCCUUCUUUCAGUUUUGCCAACAAUUUGUCAUCACCAGCACUCACAUUGGCCAAGUCCUUUGAAGAGAGGCAAAGUCCAAUGUGACAGCCAAACACUGAUAACUGCUGUUUGAUAUUGAUGUGUUUAAAAUACAUCUGAAAAUAGACAGGAAAGCCAACAGUGACAUUGAUCUUUGGGGCCAAAUUCAUCUAAUAAGUAUUGGAACAUAUAAAUGUGCAUCAGGGAUUCUUAUCCCACAUGUAACAGUCUGCGCCUACCUGAACAAUCCUAUUUAUUUAUUUUUUAUUUAUUUGAGAGGUAGAGUUAUAGACAGUGAGAGAGGGAGACAGAGAGAAAGGUCUUCCUUCCAUUGGUUCACUCCCCAAAUGGCCGCUAUGGCCAGCGCGCUGUGCUGAUCCAAAGCCAGAAGCCAGGUGCCCCUUCCUGGUCUCCCAUGUGCCCCUUCCUGGUCUCCCAUGUGGGUGCAGGGGCCCAAGGACCUGGGCCAUCCUCCACUGCCCUCCCGGGCCACAGCAGAGAGCUGGAUUGAAAGAGGAGCAACCGGGACUAGAACCUGGCGCCCAUAUGGGAUGCCAGCGCCACAGGCAGAGGAUUAACCAAGUGAGCCACGGCGCCAGCCCCUGGACAAUCCUAUUUAAACUGGAGACUAUGGCUGCCAGUAGGAAACUGGACAAUAAAUGUUUAUGAAAAAAGAAAUCUUGCCAUGAUGCUGCUGCUUGAGUUCUCUUCCUGAGAUUUUACUACCAUGUCUACAUGGUAGUUGGCAACAGUCAGUUCCUGUCCUAUGCAAAGAGUGGAAAUGAGAUCUGAAGAGGCAGGAAAGACCCUGGAGAAAGCAGAAGAAAGGAUGUUUAAAAAGAAGGAACUGCUUUUGACUCCCAGUCCCUCCACCAUGACCAACUGUGAACUGAAACACCUGGAACAGUGAGAUGGCAUUGGUACAUGCCACCUCGAUGGGAUUGAAUUGGAAUCCCCUGGUAUGCUUCCAACUCCACCACUUGGGGCAAGUCAGCCUGAGCAUGUCCCAAAUUAUACAUCUCUUCCCUCUCCCAUUCCCACCACCAUGUUCAACAGGGAUCACAUUUCAGUUAAUUUUCAACACUUAAGAAUAACUGUGCAUCAAUUACAGAUCUAAACCAGUCAUAUUAAGUAGAACAGAUAAAAAAACUACUAAGAGGGAUAAUGUAUUAAGUUGUUCAUUAACAGUCAGGGCUAUGCUGAUUAAGCCACCGUUUCCCAUAGUGUCCACCUCACUCCAACAGGUUUCCCUCUUGGUGUUCAGUCAGUCGUCACCGAUCAGGGAGAACAUAUGGUAUUUGUCCCUUUGGGACUGGCUUAUUUCACUCAGCAUGAUGUGUUCCAGAUUCCUCCAUUUUGUUGCAAAUGACUGGAUUUCGUUGUUUCUUACUGCGGUAUAGUAUUCUAAAGAGUACAUAUCCCAUAAUUUCUUUAUCCAGUCUAUCGUUGAUGGGCAUUUAGGUUGGUUCCAGGUCUUAGCUAUUGUGAAUUGAGCUGCAAUAAACAUUAGGGUGCAGACCUCUUUUUUGUUUGCCAAUUUAAAUUCCUUUGGGUAAAUUCCAAGGAGUGGGAUGGCUGGGUCCAACGGUAGGGUUAUCUUCAGGUUUCUGAGGAAUCUCCAGACUGACUUCCAUAGUGGCUUGACCAGUUUGCAUUCCCACCAACAGUGGGUUAGUGUCCCUUUUUCCCCACAUCCUCCCCAGCAUCUGUUGUUGGUAGAUUUCUGCAUGUGAGCCAUUCUAACCGGGGUGAGGUGAAACCUCAUUGUGGUUUUGAUUUGCAUUUCCCUGAUUGCUAAUGACCUUGAACAUUUUUUCAUGUGCCUGUUGGCCAUUUGGAUUUCCUCUUUUGAAAAAUGUCUAUUGAGGUCCUUGGCCCAUCUCUUAAGUGGGUUGUUGGUUUUGUUUUUGUGGAGUUUCUUGAUCUCUUUGUAGAUUCUGGUUAUUAACCCUUUAACUGUUGCAUAGUUUGCAAAUAUUUUUUCCCAUUCUGUCGGUUGUCUCUUCACUCUCCUUACUGUUUCUUUUGCAGUACAGAAACUUCUCAAUUUGAUGCAAUCCCAAUAGUUGAUUUUGGCUUUGACUGCCUGUGCCUCCCGGGUCUUUUCCAGAAAUUCUUUGCCUGUGCCAAUAUCUUGAAGGGUUUCUCCAAUGUUCUCUAGUAACAUUACUAGAGGGGUGGAGGGACUGGGAGUCAAAGGGAGCACAUAGACAAGUCUAGUACCUGCUAACGCUAACCGAUGGAGUAAAUAAAGGGGAGAGUGAUCCAACAUGGGAAGUGAGAUACUCAGCAGACUCAUAGAAUGGCAGAUGUCCUAAAUAGCACUCUGGCCUCAGAAUCAGCCCUAAAGGCAUUCGGAGCUGGCUGAAAAGCUCAUGAGAGUAUUUCAGGCAUGGAAAGCCAAGACACUCUGGCAAAA